CUUGGUCAUUUAGAGGAAGUAAAAGUCGUAACAAGGUUUCCGUAGGUGAACCUGCGGAAGGAUCAUUAUCGAAUUUAUAGGUGAGGGUUGUAGCUGGCCUUUCGGGGCACGUGCACGCCCGAGCCCUUAACGUCCCAACACACCUGUGAACCCACCGUAGGCCUUCGGGCUUAUGUAUACCUUCAUAAACUCUGAAUGUGACAUAGAAUGUAAACUUACAGUUUCGUCGCCCUAAAACGGCGGCGGAAAUAAUAUACAACUUUCAACAACGGAUCUCUUGGCUCUCGCAUCGAUGAAGAACGCAGCGAAAUGCGAUAAGUAAUGUGAAUUGCAGAUUUUCAGUGAAUCAUCGAAUCUUUGAACGCACCUUGCGCUCCUUGGUAUUCCGAGGAGCAUGCCUGUUUGAGUGUCAUGUAGACUCAAUCCCUCGGGUUUCCGAGGAGAUUGGACUUGGGUGUUGCCGCUCUGCCGGCUCGCCUUAAAAGACUUAGCGGGAUAGCACCGUAGUCGGCGUAAUAAGUUUCGUCGGUGAAGGUUGUGAUGACUGCUUACAAUCGCCCUCGGGCAAUUUUUGACUCUGACCUCAAAUCAGGUAGGACUACCCGCUGAACUUAAGCAUAUCAAUAAGCGGAGGAA
rnacentral:rRNA from 1 species